GUUUGAUUAACUCAAGGGUUAGAGUACCUGCCUAAAGCGGGUUGUUGCAGGUUCGAGUCCUGUAUCAAACU
rnacentral:tRNA from 2 species